GAGGAUCCUGUAUCAACUUCAGAUUGCUCUUCAAAGGGAAAGUCAUGUGACCGUGGGCCUGCUGGAUAUUAUCCUGAGUUCGCCUGGAGUUUAACAUCAGCAGAGGACUCCUGGGCGAAAGACCAGACGAUGGCAAAGACAAAAGCAAGCUCUCAGGGGUGGGAGGAAGGGCGAUUUCUCACAGUGAAUGGCUCCA